rnacentral:rRNA from 1 species
CACGUAGGGCGCAAGCGUUGUCCGGAAUUAUUGGGCGUAAAGGGCUCGUAGGCGGUCCAUCGCGUCGGGAGUGAAAAGCUGGGGCUUAACCCCAGUCCUGCUUCCGAUACGGGUGGACUAGAGGUAGGUAGGGGAGAACGGAAUUCCUGGUGUAGCGGUGAAAUGCGCAGAUAUCAGGAGGAACACCGGUGGCGAAGGCGGAUCUCUGGGCCGACAUUGACGCUGAACGGCGAAAGCUAGGGAGCAAACGGG